rnacentral:rRNA from 1 species
UACAGAGGAGCCAAGCGUUGUCCGGAUUGACUGGGCGUAAAGCGCACGCAGGCGGACGCGCGCGUGGGGUGUGAAAUCUGGCCGCUUAACGGCCAGGCGCCAUCCCAUACGGCGCGUCUGGAGCAAUGCAGAGGUCGGUGGAAUUGCCGGUGUAGUGGUGAAAUGCGUAGAGAUCGGCAGGAACACCCAGGGGGAAACCAGCCGACUGGGCAUUUGCUGGACGCUGAGGUGCGAGAGCGUGGGGAGC